rfam:Rhodnius prolixus Rhodnius_prolixus-3.0.3-323.3, whole genome shotgun sequence.
AACCUUGCGCAGUGGCAAUAUCGUGACCAAUGAAAGCCUCCUGAGGUGCGAUUAUUGCUAGUUGAAAAAGAUUGUAGCAAUAUUUCGGGUACUAGCGAUUUUUAAUUUGCCCUAACAAUGUGC